rnacentral:tRNA from 1 species
GGUGACGUAGCCAAGUUGGUUAAGGCCGUGGUCUGCAAAACCACUAUCAUGGGUUCGAAUCCCAUCGUCACCUCCA